rnacentral:lncRNA from 1 species
GGCAGGUUCUGAACCCAAGAUGACUGGUGUCUUUACAGGAAGAGGAGAGACAGAUGCAGAGAGGAGACUCCCAUGUGGUAAAGGAGACACAGGGAACUUGUAGUGGCAGAGGCAGAGAUUGGAGGGAAGCACCGGGGAGCCCAAGGAAACUAGGAGAGAAGGAAGGAAGGAUGGUCUCCCGAUGCUCCCAGGAAGCCCAGCCCAGACAUCUGCAGUGUAGACACAGACUCCACAAUGUGACAGAAUGUGUUUCUAUUGCUGCCAGCUACCCCGUUUGUGACCAUUUGUUACGGCAGCCCCAGGAAAUGAGUGCGGUCUAUUUUUACCUGUAUCUUGAGUCUUCGUCUGGGUUCAUGCCUGAUUGCACCCUAGCUUAUAUGUGAUUGCUCAUCUCUGGGGAUUGCCCACCUCUGCCCCCCGAAAAAGAACCAGGCCAUCAAAUAGAUGAGACCCAACAGUCGCCAAAUCGCUUGUUGAGGAGAAAUUAGCAAAUGGAUCAAAUGAGGAAUGAGGUCAACCAAGAAUCACAGUGCUGUUCAUUUCAGACAUGGGAGCAGAAGACAAGAUUUCAGACUCAUACACACGGCGACCCCAUGCCCGACUUCAAAAAAACAGUGAUUCAUCCAGACACCAAAGCUCAGCAGCUCAGAGUCAACCUCAAAUAUAGUCAAAGCUCACCAAGUGCUCUCCCAAGAAAAAUAGAACAUAAGUGCCAGAUGACCUGCGGUAAAGACUCUUCUUCCAAAGAGUGGCUGGACUGUCCUGAUUUCAUCGCACCUACAUUAGCGUGUCAACAGGCCCUUGCAAUUCCCAACGAUCCCACUGGGCUGCUUUAUCAUUGA